GACGGAGGAUGCAAGCGUUAUCCGGAAUGAUUGGGCGUAAAGCGUCCGCAGGUGGCAGUUCAAGUCUGCUGUCAAAGACCGGGGCUUAACUUCGGAAAGGCAGUGGAAACUGAACAGCUAGAGUAUGGUAGGGGCAGAGGGAAUUCCUGGUGUAGCGGUGAAAUGCGUAGAGAUCAGGAAGAACAUCGGUGGCGAAGGCGCUCUGCUGGACCAUAACUGACACUCAGGGACGAAAGCUAGGGGAGCAAAUGGG
rnacentral:rRNA from 1 species